CCUACGGGCGGCAGCAGUGAGGAAUAUUGGUCAAUGGACGAGAGUCUGAACCAGCCAAGUAGCGUGAAGGAUGACUGCCCUAUGGGUUGUAAACUUCUUUUAUAUGGGAAUAAAAUGUUCCACGUGUGGGAUUUUGUAUGUACCAUAUGAAUAAGGAUCGGCUAACUCCGUGCCAGCAGCCGCGGUAAUACGGAGGAGCCGAGCGUUAUCCGGCUUUAUUGGGUUUAAAGGGAGCGUAGGGGGAUUGUUAAGUCAGUUGUGAAAGUUUGCGGCUCAACCGUAAAAUUGCAGUUGAAACUGGCAGUCUUGAGUACAGUAGAGGUGGGCGGAAUUCGUGGUGUAGCGGUGAAAUGCUUAGAUAUCACGAAGAACUCCGAUUGCGAAGGCAGUUCACUGGACUGCAACUGACACUGAGGCUCGAAAGUGUGGGUAUCAAACAGGAUUAGAUACCCCUGUAGUC
rnacentral:rRNA from 1 species